rnacentral:lncRNA from 1 species
GUUGCCUUGCGAGCCCAAAUAACAUGGAGUCCUCUGCCUGGCAUCUUCCAGGGAGCCGAGCAACGGACCAAACCUGAGCAGCGACCCAGAGAGAGAGCAAGUUCCCCCGGCGGUCAGAGCCGCAGGAGAGCAUCGUCUCCGGGCACGAAAAAAAGCGCCAGGUCCGUUCUGAAAACUAUGGCGAACGGUGCUUAAAGCAGACCGCUUUUCACUGCGACCCGCAAACCAGGCCGAUUUCAUCCUCAUGUUCUCUGAAUGUGAGGGACGGCCGGAUGUCUGCCAAACGCUCGUGGGGCAUCGCCAGCGAUGAGGGCCCCGAGCCGAGUGAAGGCCCCCGGCCCGGUGCAGAGCCAGGGAAGACUGCACAGAGGAGAGCCAGGUCCUCAGCCUUUCCUUCCUCCCUGAGCUGGGACUCGGACUCUGAGAAAGAAACACAAGAUGGAGGAGCUACAGCACUUUUCUAACCCUCACGGUCUGGCUGCUCACAGCCCAGGAUCUCCUUCUGGACUCAGACUUGAUAGUGAAGAUGACCAGGAACCUGAAAAGCAGCACUUGCGUAGCAAGACUAACUCGUCCCCUCCUGUGGUGGGGCACGACAGAAACAAUGAGAGCACAAAGACAGAGGAGCCAAAUACAUCUCAGCUUGGCCCGAUAGACUUGGCAGACCGCGACGCGUGGAACGUAUCUGAGGGAGCCAAGCUGUUUCUGUCCAAAGUAAAACCAAAGGAAGGUUGCCAAAUGGAGGAGGAGGAGGAGGAGGAGGAGGAGGAGGAGGAGGAGGAGGCUGAUAACAAUGAGGGAGAGAAGAGGCCCAAGGGAAACGAAACCACGGAGCCUGAGAGAGAUGUGUAUACCUUCCCUGGAGACUCCGACCCCGAGAGUCCCCCUCCCGCUCCCUGGGCUCAUUGUACAUUCAUUCAGCG